GGCGAGAUAGCUCAGUUGGUAGAGCACGCGACUGAAAAUCGCGGUGUCCCCGGUUCAAUCCCGGGUCUCGCCACCA
rnacentral:tRNA from 1 species